rnacentral:tRNA from 1 species
CAAAGCGUAGCUUAACUAAAGCAUCUGACUUACACUCAGAAGAUUUCACAAUAUCGUGACCACUUUGA